GUGCAAAGGCAUCUUCAUCACUGAAGCAGACGAGGUCCCGUGUCUUCUCUCUGGGAUCAAAUGUCCGUUGAGAACUGAGUAAUUCAGAACUGGCUUUCGUCGCCAUCGAGCCCUGUUCCUGGUCCAAGUGGGCAUCACCCGCGAUUCAGCCCAACCCCGGGACCAAGUGGGCCUGGACAAGCUGCCGGUGGUAUGGGGCAACCAGCGACACCAUUGCAUUCGGAAGGACUGGCUACCAGACUAAGGCAACCAGGAAGUCCCCAACACGCCAGUCCUCCUUCAAGUCCG